GCCGAGAUAGCUCAGUUGGUAGAGCACGCGACUGAAAAUCGCGGUGUCGUCAGUUCGAUUCUGUCUCUCGGCA
rfam:Anaerolineaceae bacterium 4572_5.1 ex4572_5.1_scaffold_61033, whole genome shotgun sequence.